rnacentral:tRNA from 1 species
GGUAUCCUGGCCGAGCGGUCUAAGGCGCCAGACUCAAGUAGUCGUUACUUACUCACUCCAAGUGGGUUGUAUUCUGGUCUCGCAAGAGGCGUGAGUUCGAAUCUCACGGAUAUCA